GUAGGUGGCAAGCGUUGUCCGGAAUUAUUGAGCGUAAAGCGCGCGCAGGUGGUUCUUUAAGUCUGAUGUGAAAGCCCCCGGCUCAACCGGGGAGGGUCAUUGGAAACUGGGGAACUUGAGUGCAGGAGAGGAAAGUGGAAUUCCACGUGUAGCGGUGAAAUGCGUAGAUAUGUGGAGGAACACCAGUGGCGAAGGCGACUUUCUGGCCUGUAACUGACACUGAGGCGCGAAAGCGUGGGGAGCAAACAGGGAUUAGAUACCCUGGUAGUCCACGCCGUAAACGAUGAGUGCUAAGUGUUGGGGGGGGUUUCCGCCCCCUCAGUGCUGCAGCUAACGCAUUAAGCACUCCGCCUGAGGAGUACGGUCGCAAGACUG
rnacentral:rRNA from 1 species